UCUUCUAUUCUGCUGUACGACGGAAGAGAUGCCUGCCGUGCGCUCAAGGCGUUAUCACGCACGUAUCGCGUGGAGGUGGGUGCUUAGAAAAUGGACGAGCUCAGGCAGGUGCUGGAGAUUGACAGGACAGAUUACGAGAUAAUCGGCCUGGCUUUAGAUACUCUGUGCAAUAUAACGAAUCCUGAAACAUUCAACGAAGAAGUCGAUAAACACGGCUCCAAGAACCAAAUAGGGGAACAGUUUACAGAAAUAUUCAUUAAGCACUCGGACAGUGUUGGUUUGUGGCUGACAUUUCUCAAGGAGUUUGACUUCCGUGUCAGGUGGCCAGCGCUGAAGCUACUGACGCAUUUGCUGGCGAAUAGAUCUAAAGAUAUUCAGGAAAUAAUUCUGGUCAGCCCUAUGUGUGUCUCUAAACUGAUGACUGAUGGAUUUGCUGAGUGACAACAGAGAAGUUAUACGCAAUGAUGUCUUGUUGCUGCUCAUUCAAUUGACAAAAGGCAAUGCUGACAUACAAAAGAUAGUGGCGUUUGAAAGUGCGUUUGAUCGCAUAUUUGAUGUUAUUGAGCAAGAGGGCCACGCAGAUGGUGGUAUUGUUGUGGAAGAUUGCCUCCUGUGCUGAUAUUAAAUUUUCUCAGGGGAAACGUCAGUGACCAAGACUUCUUUAAGAAAGGUAGCUAUAUUCAGAAAUUGACGCCAAUAUUCCAAAUUCUCAAUGAAACGAAGGAUAACAAUCUUGGUGGAUGGAGCCCACAGAAGGUGUCCAAUGUUCACUGCAUGGUGCGAGUUGUAGUACGAGCGCUAGUAGCAGCGAGUCCUCCUGCUCAGGCAGUCGCAGCUUGUCAACGAACUAUAAGAGCGUGCGGAUUAUUGCAAGCACUGUACGAUAUAUUGAUGGCUAACGGAGUUAUAAACUGCCAACUCCCGACUUCACCCCCUCCAUGGCAAAAACAUGAAGAAUACUUGAUCUAUUUAUAUAUGUCGUUGCUAUUUCCGAUAUAAUUUAUAACGUUAGCUAAACUUAUCACAAGAUGUAUUUAAUGUCGUUAGUCGUCUUCUCAUUAUUACAGUCUUUGGUUUGUAUCACGAAUUUUGUGUCGUUCUCGU